UUUUUUAUACUAUAGGUCACUGUUGCCUGCCAUCUAUAGAUGCUUUUCUUCUGUCUCAUCUACUGAUGUUAUUUUCUUCUACCUCACUAGCUGCAGAAACAUCUACAGCUCAAUCAAUAAAUUCAACAGCCCCUGCACUAACAUGCAUAAUAGCUACAGUGGCAUCUAUGGCUCGAUUAACAAAAAAUCCUGCACCAACAUGUAUAUCAGCUACAACAACAUCUACAGCUCGAUCAUCGAUAACAACCCUUGCCCCACUGUCUACAUCUCGCUCAGCAGUCACUGAACCAUCAUCUACAACUCAAUCAAGACCUCCUACACCAACUUUAGGUUCAUCUGUACUAACAUCAACCACUCUGUCAUCAACAACAAUUGCACCAUCAACUACAUCAACAUCGAUAUCAGCUGCAUUAACAUCUACUCGAAUACCAACAUCUUCUUCUCAAAUGACUGCUCAAUCUUCAACUCAACCAGCAAAUAGGACAGCAUUAGCUCAUGCAACUUUUAGAUUGAGAUGCUUUGUUGAGCUGAACAAUGAUGAAAUCAUUACAUACAUUGAAAAGUUUGUCAAGCACUUUCAAUCAAGCAUUAGUGGGACCAUCAGGAUUACUGUGAAGAAAUCAAGAAAAUUGUUGGCCUAAGGAUCUUAUGGAAAACUUGUGAC